CUGGGGAUAGAUGAGGCUUAUUGCUUAACCCCCGAACCCGUAGAGAGUGCGUCCCUGACGUUUGAGAGCAUAGACGACAUCCAUGGCGGUGACGGUCUUCCUCUU